CUGGAAUGCAUCCAGAGUGAGGCUUGGAACGCACCACAUGACCCGAAGGCCCUGCAACGCCAAUAGAAACAGAUUCUGCAGAGACAAGUCCUGGACGGGAGAAGUCUUCAUGAUGCCCAGGACCGAUGGAGAAGAAAAGUAAAAGUGAACGAAUCUGAACAAAGAUGAUGUCACCUCUGAUUGUAACUGAUUAUACCCUGUGGAAAUGUGUUAUGAUGACUUCUCUGUUGGUCUUCAGAAGAUGAGAAAUAUGCCUGAAUCCUACCUGUUCCUGAAUGAUAUGAGGACAUCCAUUAUACCAGGUCUAUACCUUACUAGCUAAGGUCCACAUAUUAUGGCCGAUAUGCACCAGACCACAAUCAUGGUGGUGGACAAGGUCGUCACUGGUAUCCAUGAUGGGCUCUACCUUGAAGAUCAUAUAAGACUCUAUCUUACUGUACAGAAUACCAUUCAUGGAUAAAACGUGGUCAAAGGUUCUUGGAUCUACUUGUAUUAUGUGAUGUUCUUAAAAUACUUUGGGUAACAUUUAUGGAUACUACGGGAUGAUGGAUAUAUUUCAUGGAUAUGAUGAUGACACGGAUAAAGUUGAAGGACAAGGUUUGUGAUCAAGAUGGUGUAAUAGAUUAUAAAAUGGAAAAAGUAGAUGAAGAUCAUGGAUAAUACAACAUGGAUCCAUAAAAAGGAGCAUAUGGAUAAAGGUCAUGGAUAAUACAUAAUGGAUAAUAUGACGUAAAGGAUAACACUUAUGGAAUAUAUAAGAUGAUGGAACGUUGAUAUAAAGGAUAUAAUAAGGAUGACUAUUUGAGAAUGAAUAAAAAUGUUCAUGAAUAGGAGUCCCUGAUGGAUUGAGUUCUUGAGUGAAGUAACAUCUGGAGGUCAAAAAAGAGUGUACAUGGGGUGAAAAUCACAAUUGUCCAUGGUCAAUGGAUUCCAUAAGAUCUUACAGUCGUAAUCGACAUGAUAUAGUUCAUAAAUCUCAUAGGUGGAAUACUCUACACUGAUGGUCAUGGCUUAUAUGAGUCUAUAACGCAAUGGAAGACGUGUGAUUGUCUUCAUGGUCCUUAUUGGACAAAUGUUUUGGAUAUAACGUAUCAUUUCUAAUGGUUAAAAUGUAUAAAAAAUAAUAACCUACGCAAUAUUGGAUGAAAUUCAUGGAUGUUACCGUCAUUGAUGUUGAAUCUUUUUGCAUGUUGGAUACAAUUCAUGGCUAACAAGACUACACGGAUGGUAGGAGAACACGGAUCAUAACAUGGUCAUGGGUUUGAAAAUGUCAUAGUUGAGGAUUAGAGAUCUUCAACGUCAAUGACGAAGAAUACAGAUGAAGUGGCACCAGCUGAAGGUCAUGGCCACUAUGACAUAUCAAGUCUUUGGAUGUUAGGACACGAGCUGAAGGUCAUGGGCCCUAUGAAACACCAAGUCUUCAGAUGUUAUGGCACUAGCUGAGGGUCUUGGGUCAUAUUUCUCAUCAAGUCUUUGGAUGUUAUAGCACCAGCUGAAGGUCAUGGGCACUACGGCAUAUCAAGUCUUUGGAUGUUAUGGCACUAGCUAAAGGUCAUGGGCACUACGGCAUAUCAAGUCUUUGGAUGUUAUGGCACCAGCUGAAGGUCAUGGGCCCUACGAAACACAAAGUCCUCAGAUGUUAUGGCACCAGCUGAGGGUCUUGGGUCAUAUGGCACAUCAAGUCUUUGGACAUUAUGGCACCAGCUGAGGGUCUUGGGUCAUAUUUCACAUCAAGUCUUUGGAUGUUAUGGCACUAGCUGAAGGUCAUGGGCACUAUGAAACACCAAGUCUUCAGAUGUUAUGGCACCAGCUGAAGGUGAUGGGCACUACAACAUCUCAAGUCUUUGGAUGUUAUGGCACCAGCUGAAGGUCAUGGGCACUACGAAACACCAAGUCUUUGGUGGUUAUGGCACCAGCUGAAGGUCAUGGGCACUACUGCAUAUCAAGUCUUUGGAUGUUAUGGCACCAGCCUAAGGUCUUGAGCCCUAUGGCACAUCAAGUCCUCAGACGUUCUGGCACCAGCUGAAGGUCUUGGGUCACAUGGCACAUCAAGUCUUCAGACAUUAUGUGACCAAGGUCCUAUUAGAAUAAAAUUUGACAGUUUCAUAGACAUUGAUACAAUGUUAUAACAUGUUAUAAUAUAUUACCCAUAGUAAGCAGUUGUGACACCAAUUUGCUGUUGUCACGUGACCUUCCCGGUAAUAUAGUGCUUCUAUGUAUGGCAUUCAAUGGAAUAAAAUCACAGAAGGAAAAGUACGGAGCACUGACCGGUUUUGAUGCAACAGGAUUCUUUAUUUCACAGGCA